GCCGACGUAGAGCAGCUCGGUAGCUAGCCAGCCUCAUAAGCUGGAGGCCGCAGGUUCGAAUCCUGUCGCCGCAACCA
rnacentral:tRNA from 1 species